CCUACGGGGGGCAGCAGUGAGGAAUAUUGGUCAAUGGGCGCAAGCCUGAACCAGCCAAGUCGCGUGAGGGAAGACGGCCCUACGGGUUGUAAACCUCUUUUGCCGGGGAGUAAGCCUGAGCACGUGUGCUCAGGCGGAGAGUACCCGGAGAAAAAGCAUCGGCUAACUCCGUGCCUGCAGCCGCGGUAAUACGGAGGAUGCGAGCGUUAUCCGGAUUUAUUGGGUUUAAAGGGUGCGCAGGCGGGCUGUUAAGCCGGCGGUAAAGAUUCAGGCCUCAACCCUGUCGAGCCGUCGGAACUGGCAGUCUUGAGUAGGCGAGAGGUAUGCGGAAUGCGUGGUGUAGCGGUGAAAUGCAUAGAUAUCACGCAGAACGCCGAUUGCGAAGGCAGCAUACCGGCGCCCGACUGACGCUGAGGCACGAAAGCGUGGGUAUCGAACAGGAUUAGAUACCCUAGUAGUC
rnacentral:rRNA from 1 species